UUUAACAAUUCUAAUAUCAUACUCAUCGCUUUGUCAGUCAUUCGGCACAAACAUUUGAUAUGAUACAAUUGGACUAGAAAGGACAAUUUGGAAUACUCUGCGUACCCUUCGUAUAAUAGUUGAUUUCCAUCUUCGACCAGUUCAUAGAACUUUGCAUAUUCUUCAUUAUGCCCAUCAAUAUGCCCUUCAUUAAAUGUUUCUUCACUAUUCAUAGGCUCACAAGACACACCAAGCUCAUUAAAUAUUGUUCCCCAUGAUAUGCCCUUCAUUAAAUGUUUCUUCACUACUCAUAGGCUCACAAGACACACCAGGCUCAUUGAAAUUGUUCCCCAUGAACCCAAAUGCUUCGUUAACCAUGGUUACCAUUGGAUCUUGGGGCUGCAGAGUUUCUUCUACGACGUGUGUGCUCUGAAAUUUUUGUGGCAUAGUUGCAUUUGAUUCUUCACC
rnacentral:lncRNA from 1 species